rnacentral:pre_miRNA from 1 species
GGGUCUCUCUAGGUAGACCAGGUCCAAGCCCGGGAGCUCCUGGCUAUCUAGGAAACCCAC